rnacentral:tRNA from 1 species
UCCAGGGUAGCCUAGUGGUCAUGGCAUCUGCCCGGUGGGCGGAAGGUCGUGGGUUCGAUUCCCAUCCCUUGAU